CUUGUUGUAAUUUUCCCAGUCAGCAACCCACUAUCUCUUGGCUGAGUCUAGCCACUAACUCUCCCUGUGUGCAAACCCAGAUAAAGCACUUUAUCUCAUUGACACUGGGGAUUGGAUCUUAUCGUUCCUCAGCUAUCUUUAAAACCCCACUGUACUGUAGCUCAUUAUGGUCUCAGCCUUUAUGCUAUUUAGAUCUAUUUCACUUCAGAAAUAGGGAUACUUAGAAAACAAAUAUAAGUCUGAACUGUGCUUAUUCCCUGUGGCAAGCCACCAUCCUCAGACAGCACUUUCAUCCUCAACUGAUCAGAAGUGUCGCUACAUGUAAAUAGCUCUUCUCCUCAUGCUCAGGGAUACAAGUCACCAACUUUCAGAGCCCGUUUCAGUUUGUGGGACUGCACUUUGGGUUCAUUAUCCUCCUCUGGUGUUGGAACAUCACAGCCCAGACCUCUUUCUAGAGUGUAGUUUGCACCAAAUACCAAGGAACAUGACUCUUCCCUCCUGUCCCAUAUAUGCCUGUGCUAGGUGUGCUCACAUAAAUCUAAGCCUUUCAAGUACAACAGGCAAAUGUAGACAUUUUCCAGAUACAGUUUGAAAGUUUGUCUGGGAUCCUUUGCCCAGCUAAUGUGUCAAGGGGAAGGGAUAUGGAAAUGUGAGAGAAAAUGAAGAAGAAGAUCAAAGAUAAAACAGCCAACAAACUACAGGUGAAGUAGUGAUAAAACAGAGGAGGUGGAGUCCUCUCUUUCCAGCCAGGGCCUCCUUGCCACAGGCAGGGAGAAGAUACGAAACAGGGCAAAUGGUAGAAAGUAAACUGAUUUGUUUUGAGGUGCGGAGUGAGACCACAUGUACUUCUCUAAGCACAAGAUGAGCCUCUGGAAUUCAGGCUGCCACUGCCACACAGAUCAUUGAGUCAAGUCCUGUGCUUUGGGUUUUAGAGACUGGAUAAUUGCGUGGCCAUUAAUAACAUUGGUCCUUAUGCCUAACCAGGGUAAAGGGUAAGCAAUGUGCAUCAUAGAGGCAGCUGAACACCAGAAGGGCAAAGGAAGAAGCCCUCCAUCUCUCUCUUGCGUGUAUGCCUGUAUUCAGCAUUUGACAUGAUGGGGUAUAUUGUAGCGGUUUCUUUCCUUUAAAGCUUCAGAUACUGGCUGGUGCCCAAGACAGGAAAAUUGAUUACAUGGCUCACUAGAGACGCAGGAGGAGGGGUACCAAGCCUGAUGUGCCAUCGGGGUGAUUUUGUAUUCCUGCUCCUACUGAGCCAGCUUUCAGAUGAAGAAUUCUCUCCGUGUUCUGACUUGCAGAGUCCUCCUCUCCUUGCAGCCAUUAGCAGCUCUGCUAACAGUUGCAGUGGGGCUGGUGAGGAAAAGCCAGGCUUAGAUGGCUUGUUGCCCCUUAGGUUUCUCUAUUGUUGUAUUAUUUUUAAGAAGUAAAAUGCCAAAGUUGAGCAGGCGCCAUCAAAGUAAAAUAUGCAAAUUCCAGCCUAGCUCAUUAUGCUGCAGCUAGGGUCUGGGAGCUGUGUUCCCCAGUGUGGCACCUUGCUGAAAUCUCCCCUCACUUUUUGCUGCAGCUUCCACUUAAUUAGACAGUGACAUGCUCACUGUAGUUCACUCUCACUUUCCACAGGUCAGUGUGUCAGCUUAAAGGAAAGGACAGCAAACAAUCUGCCAGCCAUAAGAAAUCAGCCAUUAAUGUUGUGUUAAUGGUCUGCAGGGGAAGUGCGGUAUUGGAUCAGCUGGAAUAGUCCCUUUCCAGAAUUCACAUUCUUUGACCUGGCAGGUGAAUGGAGGGCCAUAUCAUAGCCAUGGCCCCACUGGAGUCGAGAGGCACAAGAUAUGCUGCUGUUUGUUCUUAUCCAUACUUUCCUAGCCGCAUUUUCAUAGCUGCUGUGGAGCACUGUAUGUCUCACUUAUGGCUGCUGUUCUUUUUCUUUUCCUGUCUGCUUUCCAUAGUAAAUCAAUAUCAUGUAGAGCGGGGAAUAUUGUUCUUUUGGACAGAAACGAGGCUCUUCUUAAAUAUAUUGAUACUUAAAUACCUAAUUCCCUACACCCUGACAGGCCUAGUGUACUUGAGAUGCUUGGUAGAAUAUGUAUAUGGUUACUUGGUCCACUGCACUGUGGGAGAGCCUAUGAAGAGUGUCGAGACUCAUCAGAACCUAGCUGUGGAUUGAGGGAGAGGCCCUGUUUUGAAUUUGCCUCGUAUUUAAUUAAUGUGCUGUGCAGACUUAGGGUCCAAGGUCCGGCAGCUACGUCUGUAGCAAAAAGUGCUCCUUUGGCCCCUAAUGGGAAUACACUCCCAGCAUAAGGAAGGUGGAAGAUUCUCUCCAGGUCUAUGGGCAGUGGUAGAUCUCCAGGUAGUCUUCUACCAGUGCUAUCACUACCGUCCAUGCUGUUAACCCUGUUGUGCCCCAAGGUUAUAUUUUGCAAGGACAUGCUUUUCCUAGAAUGAAAGCACUUUUUCCCUGCCUCCCAGAUCUGCUAGAGAGAAGACGUGGAAGAGAUGUGCCUUGUCCUUUGGCGGCUGUUGGCAUAACUCUAGCCUGAUGCCACUAACUCUUAAAUCCCAUAAUCUGUUUUUAUGCAGUAGGACCCAGAAGCUUUGUAGGGUUGGGUUCCUUAGCCUCCCACAAGGGUGAGUGUUUGUGAGCUAUCCAGAAGAAUAUAGAGGCAAAGCAAACCAAUGCACAGCUCCACUAAGGGGCUCCAACUUUUAUUUCAAAGGGUGUUGCUUUCCAAUAACUGCCCAGGACAUGAGCUCCAACUGGGGAGAGAAGCAGUUCCCUGCUGAAGUAAAGCUGCAGCAAGCAGCUGUGCAGCCUGUCCUUCACUUAGCAACCCCCUGCUUAUUAAGUGGGAUGCAAACCACCUGGAUAUGAAACAUCUGGGGCCUGCCUCUCCUUUUCCUUCUGACAAUUUUGUCUGCAUAUAACAUGGUUCUUUGUGGACCCAGGCAAAUAAAAUAAGAUAAAAAUCCCAAAUCCACAGUGGACCUCCUUGUAAAUCUCACCAUGGAUGGGAGAACCAGGUUAUUUAUUUCUCAGUAAUGUGACAGCUAGGCUUGUAUUUCUCAUUCAUUAUUGUUGGGCAUAGUGGGUGCUUAGUACUUCACAGGAUCAGGCCCAGACCGGCCCGGCCAUCUCUGUAACCUUCUCUCCUGCUCUCAUAGUUCCUUACUGAAGCUGGUUACAAGAGUGCCUGUAACAUGUGCUGCGUGCACACGGACAGCCAGAUCCCUUUGUGUUCUCAUUUGAGGCAAGCAUGAAGGCAGCUACUUUCCAGGCUGUGAUGUGCUUGGCAGAGAGCAUUUGGGGAGGGAAGGCAGGCAACAGUGCUCGGAUCAAUUGCCCUAAGUGAGGAUAAAGGAAAGGGAGAGAAGACCCUAGGGGCCUAAUUAGCAUGCUGCACAGACACUUGGUGUCAUGAACAAUGAUCCUGUUAUUACCCAGCUUCAUAAUUAAUAGAGAGUGAAUAAUUAAUGAAGCAUCAUUUAGCCAUAGCCUGGACUUAGAUUAGAACUGAGGUUUGUGCAGCCAUUAGGAAGAAGAAAUCUUUCUUCUUGUACUGAAAAAUGAAAGGUACUUUCAAGUGCAGUUGUGUGAGGGUUUGUUUUUUUUUAAUCCUUUAAAUAUUUAAACCGUUCUAGUCUUGACUCUCAUGCUUCGAAGAGGGAGCUGCUGGCCCCAAGAGUUACAAAUGGAGCAAGCUUGCAAGCAGUUCUCCACUGUAAAUCUCUCUUCCACAGCCCCAGCAAUGUUUUUAUUAUUUUAUUUCAUGCUGCAGCAAUACAUUUAUUUUAAAUGCCUAUUUAGGACUCUUUAAAAUGCCCCUCCGAAUGCACAGUGCUGCACAGUCAUUUCAAAUCAGUGGGAUACCUGCCUGGAUAAGCUUAAAACGUAAUUUCAGGGCCUGUCCAAUACAGCAGCAGGUAAAAUAAUUUCAAAGCAGGGGCUUCAGACUCGGGCACAGCAGAACAGGAAUACAUCAAUGGAAUCAUUGAGCUGAGACUUAGAGCGUCUCCUCUUUGAAGGCAGGAGUGCUGACAUGCUUGGAACUGCUCCCUUUGAGCUCUGUAAAUUAGAAAGUAAAACGCCUUUGGGAACAGUGAUUUCCAAGAAAGAAUAAUGCCUGCCUCUCUCUCUUUGUUCGUCAUUUGCCUAUCGUUCUGAAUGAAGUGGCUGUUUACAUAGGAAACACGGUACAGUUUCUAUGCCGAUUGGCUGAGCAGUGUGCUGAUGGGCCAAAAUCUGCUUGGGACUUCAUGCUGAAAAUAUUAUUCUCUUUUUUCUUUUUUUUUGUCGGGGGAGGGAUCGUUUAUGAAAGAGUUUAAUUAGGA